UUUGCGUUUAACAAACUAAAUUAAAUAGUCAGGCUACUGGAUCUCUUCAUAGAGUAAGUUUCGACCGUUUCUUUACUCCAUGAAAGGAAAGGAGUAAAGUAAAAAGAAAGUAAAGAGGCAGAAUGGAGAGGGCUCAUUCUUUAUCCUAGUGCAGAUGGUUUGUUUAACCGUUUUCUCGCUAGUGCAGUAUUCGUUUUUUCCACUUACAAAUAUAAUACAAUAUUUUUCCGUGCUUAAAAUAGCAAAAGUAGAUUCAGACACUCUCUUAAUCCUUUUGCGUCAUGCGCUUUAGACUUUGCGCCUAGAUCAUUAAAAUAGAGCCCUUAGAGUGAAAAUAACAUAUGCAGGCAAAAUCAAUAUUUCAUCGUUAUUACUAGUGCAACAAACUCAAUUUUUAUGUUUUUUUUAAUUCCGUUUUUUUUUUUUUUCAUAUUGUUUUCGACUAAGGUAUGAUAUGAAUCCUCACUCCAACAUCCAAGAUAAAUGAAGCACAGCACUGCUAUAGAAACUGUAGCAAAGAGCCACAUACUGCCCACUCCAAUUCAUGCUAUCAAUUUCUUCCAGUUUAUAUUGAAAGAUUAUGUCCAUUUUAGUUCAGUUGCAUUUACAUUGAUUAAACUCUUAUGUGAUAUGAUGGGGUGACCUGUGCCUCGACCCCCACAAACUGAUAGGUGUGAACUAAAUGACCCUUUUACAAUCUCAAUGGGUAUUAACAAAACAACAGCUGAAACAUCUGAAGAGGGUCCUGCUGAGCCUCGUAAACAGAAUGGUUUGUUUGAUGCUAAUAUAAAGUACUGCCUCACAGACAGUACUUUGGGUUAAGUUACUUGAAGACCGACGGGUUAACAUCACUGCUGAGGAACUGCACUAUUGAUUGUCUUCAAUAAAGUCUUUUCUCCGUAAGAACUUUGGUCAGCUUACUUUUUUAUGUAUUAGAGUAAUCUAAUACAUUGGCGAGCCACCCAAGAACGGUUAAGCCAAAUACAGCAAAAUCUAACAAUUUGGCGAGCCAGCCAGGAGAGACUGAAAAGAGGAAAACUCAUCAACUGCAACAAGAAAUGAACUGAAGAAUCUUGGAGAAUCUACAGUUAAAGCAGAAGAUAAACAGAUUUUGUUUGUGGACGAGUCCUGGAUCUACAUAUUGUAUCUGUGGACACACUUUAUUUUAAUCAACUGGAUCUCAUCUCAAAGAUCCUAGUUUGGUGUUCCGAUGUUCCAGAGAAUGACCAGAGACACACAACACCAGACACCUAGAUGAACACACCUGAACAUUCACAGAACACAACCACAUCCGCUACUUCCACAACAUCACAACUUCAAACAGAAAUGGACUCAGGCAUUUAAGGAAAUGCAAGCUUCACCAUGCCUUUUUAUUCUGUCACUUUAAGUUAUAUAGCCUGUAUUGCAGAUUGCUGUAUACAUGAUUAACUUGUUUUAUGAUCAAAUAUGAUCAGAGGAGGGAUUGAAAGAUUAUGUCCAUUUUAGUUCAGUUGCAUUUACAUUGAUUAAACUCUUAUGUGAUAUGAUGGGGUGACCUGUGCCUCGACCCCCACAAACUGAUAGGUGUGAACUAAAUGACCCUUUUACAAUCUCAAUGGGUAUUAACAAAACAACAGCUGAAACAUCUGAAGAGGGUCCUGCUGAGCCUCGUAAACAGAAUGGUUUGUUUGAUGCUAAUAUAAAGUACUGUCUCACAGACAGUACUUUGGGUUAAGUUACUUGAAGACCGACGGGUUAACAUCACUGCUGAGGAACUGCACUAUUGAUUGUCUUCAAUAAAGUCUUUUCUCCGUAA